AUUACCAUGAUGAGGGCAUUUAUUGAGUAACUCCUUGAAUCUUUCACAUGCAUCAUACAAGCUUUCAUCUUCGAGUUGAUGGAAAAAUAUUAUCUCAUUCCUCAACU
rfam:Citrus clementina cultivar Clemenules unplaced genomic scaffold scaffold_4, whole genome shotgun sequence.